rnacentral:rRNA from 1 species
UACGUAGGUGGCAAGGCGUUGUCCGGAUUUAUUGGGUUUAAAGGGUGCGUAGGCGGUCAAGUAAGUCAGCGGUGAAAUCCGGCAGCUCAACUGUCGAUGUGCCAUUGAUACUGCAUGACUUUGAGUACUGAUGAGGUAGGCGGAAUUGACGGUGUAGCGGUGAAAUGCUUAGAUAAUCGUCAAGAACACCGAUAGCGAAGGCAGCUUACUAAGCAGUAACUGACGCUGAUGCACGAAAGUGUGGGGAUCAAACAGG